UCAAGCACGGCUUGUGUGUUGGGCUCUCGCCCCCCGCUUCCGGGGGGCGGGCCCGAAAGGCAG
rnacentral:rRNA from 1 species